UUGACCUCGGAUCAGUAGG
rnacentral:rRNA from 4 species